rnacentral:rRNA from 1 species
GAUCAUGGCUCAGAUUGAACGCUGGCGGCAGGCUUAACACAUGCAAGUCGAACGGUAGCAGGUAAGUACCUGUACUUAUGCUGACGAGUGGCGGACGGGUGAGUAAUGCUUGGGGAUCUGGCUUAUGGAGGGGGAUAACGACGGGAAACUGUCGCUAAUACCGCGUAGAAUCGAGAGAUGAAAGUGUGGGACCUUCGGGCCACAUGCCAUAGGAUGAACCCAAGUGGGAUUAGGUAGUUGGUGGGG